UACGUAGGGGGCAAGCGUUGUCCGGAUUUAUUGGGCGUAAAGAGCGUGUAGGCGGCCAGGCAGGUCUGCUGUGAAAACUCGAGGCUCAACCUCGAGCUGUCGGUGGAAACCGUGUGGCUAGAGUCCGGAAGAGGAGAGUGGAAUUCCUGGUGUAGCGGUGAAAUGCGCAGAUAUCGGGAAGAACACCCGUGGCGAAGGCGGCUCUCUGGGACGGUACUGACGCUGAGACGCGAAAGCGUGGGGAGCGAACAGG
rnacentral:rRNA from 1 species